CAAUUGACCUGAUUUCAUGCUCAUUCUUUUGCCUGACUGGAUCUACUGAAGCUUCUAUGGAAUUUUUCAGUGCAGUAAUUUUGUUCCUUGGUUUCAGAAUUUCUGUUUGAUUCACUUUUAUGGUCUCUAUAUCUUUGUUAAACAUCUCAUUUUCUUCAUGUAAUGAUUCCUUGAUUUUGCUUAUCUGUGUUCUUUUGUAGUUCAAUGAGAUUCUUUAAGUUAUUUUGAAUUCUUUCUCAGGCAAUUCGCAGAUCUCAGUUUCUUUAGGUCUUUACAGAUUGGCUUUGGAAGGGAAAGCCUUUCACUAGUCUGCCUGUCUGUUCUGGACAGGUUGUCUGGUGGGGGUCUGUGAGCAGGUUUGCUGCUGGAGUACUCAGAUAGGCUGCUCAGGUACCUCAGUCAGUAAGUGAGUGGGCCUAUGCCUGGGCCCAUGAGGCCUGACCUAGUAAUAGGAAGGUCUUGAGCCUGAUUCUGUAGGUACUGGCCUGUGGAACCUGAAACCUGGAUCCUAGGUUUAUAGUGGCUGGCCAAUACUGAAGUCUACUGGGGUUUGUUAGAACCUGGGCUUCCAGGGGUUAGUUUGGCACUAGAGUGAGCAUGGGGCCACAGGGGCUAUUUGGUCCUAAGUGAAUCCAGAGGAUGGGUCUGCAGCCUCCUACCUGGAGCCUGAAUUUACAGGGCCUGGGCUUGUGCUGGGGUAUGCCUAGAACUUGAAUUUGGUGUGAAUAUGGAGCCUGGGACCAGGGGGCUAACCUGGUGCUGAGGUGGUCCCAAAGGCUGAGUCUGUUGGUGCUGACCUGGCCUUGGUGUUCACUGGGGUAGGCCUGGUGCUUGGACCUACAUCCAAGCUAGGUGCUCACUUUACUUUCCUUUUCUCAUGGUGAAGGUGUCUUUAUGCUAGGCUGCCUCAGCUUAGGGGAUCAGAUCAUGUAAAAUUUUCCUUUCUACUCUCUUUAAUGUAUCAUUUUUAUUGUUUCUGUGUUCUACCCAGGUGCUGCAACCUGUCACCUGGAAUCCUCAGCUCUUGUGAAGGUAUUUCUGUUCAUGGAUACUUGUCCUAAUCAAUGUUUUCACUAAAGGAUGAGCAAUGGAAACUUGUAUCUCACCAUCUUGCUGAUAGCACUCUCUUAGGGCUGAAUUUAAAAAUUACCAUAUAAACUUUUUAUUUCAAAUUUCAAGUUAUGUUGGACUUUUUGCACUGGUUCUCUAAUUUUCAUAACUUGGCUCUGUAUUAUAUUGCUUCAUUUUUUUGGAGGGUGCUUUUUGGGAGGUUUGCCUAGCUUUAUCUUCUGAACAUUUCCCCCCUGCCCCGCGCUAUCAUAAUUUUGAUUUUCCAGAGUUCUUUUUUGGUUCUGUGAAUGUUCCUAUUAUAAAAAAAGUACAAUUUGUUCAUAUUCUGUGAAUUUAAUUUAUCUCUGAGGAUACUAGUAACAAUGUCUCUGUUGUUUUUGCUGAAGGUUUCUUUUCCCUGAAAUUCUGUUUCAUCCAAGUUAUUUUCCUGCUAUUCUAUUUGUUUGGUCUCUAUUGUUUAUGUAAAAAGCUUUACUUAGGAAUUUAGUGAUCCUUUGUUUUCUGUUCAUAUUUAAGAGUAGAUGCUAAAGAGCUGAUUGGAAAUUCUGGCUUAUGAGUUUGUUGACUCUGAGCUUUACUAUAAAGUGAUCUGUUUGGGUUCUUUCCUUGGGGGGUGACCCAACGUCAAAUUUUCAGGUCUUUAUUCUUGGGCUGGCCAGAUUCUCCAGAAAAGGAUCUCUUAGUCCCCUGCCUAGAGGUUCAGGACAGGUUACCAGGACUUUGAAAGUUGAGUGAGGAAUGAAGACUGGACAUCACAGCUAGGUCAUUUACUAGGUAUACAAUCUCUCAGAGCAUCUGUUUCCCCAAGUGUAAAAUGGGGCCACUGAGAAAUAACCUCAGAGUGAUACAAAGAUUAAAUAAGCCAUUACAUAUGAAAUAUUUGUUAUCUGGUAGAGAAUACAGCCUCAACAAUAUGUUAGGUGUUAGGUAGGAGAAAGUAGUCACGCAAGGUAUAAAAGAGCCACGAAAGAAAGAUUUUGAUUCAAAAACCUCUUUUGGUAGCAUUUCUAUAAACUGAGAUCCAGUUAAGUAUUUAAAGAUAUGAAGAGUUGAUCUGAAGGAUUCUACUUUGGGUAAUGAUGGACUUAAUGUUUUGGAUUAACCCUCUCACUGAGAAAAUAUGGAGUAAAAAUCCUUUUUGAAAGUACUGGGCUAUUGGGGGGUGGGGGGUUGUGCUUGGGCUGUGGGAUGGAAAUCCUGUGAAAUUAGAUUGUUAUGAUCAUUAUACAACUACAGAUGUGAUAAAUU
rnacentral:lncRNA from 1 species